rnacentral:rRNA from 1 species
GACGUAGGGCGCGAGCGUUGUCCGGAUUUAUUGGGCGUAAAGAGCUCGUAGGCGGCUUGUCGCGUCGACUGUGAAACCCGCGGCUCAACCGUGUGGUCUGCAGUCGAUACGGGCAGGCUAGAGUUCGGUAGGGGAGACUGGAAUUCCUGGUGUAGCGGUGAAAUGCGUUGAGAUCGGAAGGAACGCCCGUGGCGAAAGCGAGCCCCUGGACGUCUACUGACGCUGAGACGCGAAAGCCAGGGGAGCGAACGGG